AAAAGUCGUAACAAGGUCUCCGUUGGUGAACCAGCGGAGGGAUCAUUACCGAGUUUACAACUCCCAAACCCCUGUGAACAUACCUAUCGUUGCUUCGGCGGGAUGCCCCAGUUUUGACUUAAAACUGGACCCAGGCGCCCGCCGGAGGACCCAAACUCUUGUUUUUAUAUGUAUCUUCUGAGUAAACAAGCAAAUAAAUUAAAACUUUCAACAACGGAUCUCUUGGUUCUG
rnacentral:misc_RNA from 1 species